rnacentral:lncRNA from 1 species
AUUUAUAGCACUAAAUCCCACAUCAAAAAGUUAGGAAGAACUCAAAUUAAUAACCUAACAUCACAACUGAAAGAACUAGAGAAGCAAGACAAAACCCCAAAGCUAGAGGAAGACAAGAAAUAACUGAAAAUCUGAGCUGAACUGAAAGAAACCGAGACAUGAAAAAAAGAAAUUCAAAAGAUCUAUGAAUUCCGGGUGAUGGCAUCAGCUGAGAAGGGAAGGAAGCCCAUGAGAGGACACUGAAGAAGGAGUGAGCAGACAAUAAGAAGCCCACAGAAGACAGAGAAGGAACAACUAGAGGGAGAAGCCAAGGCAGGCGUGUGUGUUUCUCCACAGACACUACCCAAAGCAGUGCUUCACUACAGUGGCAGACAGACCUGAAAAUUUUCAUCUGAAGCAGCAGAGUGAACUGCAGAGGCAGGUCACCAACCAGUGUGGAGGCUAAAAGCGGGCCUCUUUGGGGAUUCCAGGUGGAAGUGUUGGACAUCUGUAGUAUUCCUGGUCUCGAAUCAUCCUGAUAUUCUUCAUUUUGUUAUUCACAUUGGACUAGG